GGAGUAGUUCAGUUGGUAGAACGGCGGUCUCCAAAACCGCAAGUCGUGGGUUCGAGCCCUACCUCCU
rnacentral:tRNA from 1 species